rnacentral:rRNA from 1 species
AUUGAACGCUGGCGGCAUGCCUAACACAUGCAAGUCGAGCGGCAGCGCGGGGGCAACCCUGGCGGCGAGUGGCGAACGGGUGAGUAAUGCAUCGGAACGUGCCCAUCGAUGGGGGAUAACUGCGCGAAAGCGUUGCUAAUACCGCAUACGACCUACGGGUGAAAGCAGGGGACCGCAAGGCCUUGCGUCGAUGGAGCGGCCGAUGCCGGAUUAGCUAGUUGGUGAGGUAAAGGCUCACCAAGGCGACGAUCCGUAGCUGGUCUGAGAGGACGACCCAGCCACACUGGGACUGAGACACGGCCCAGACUCCUACGGGAGGCAGCAGUGGGGAAUCUUGGACAAUGGGCGAAAGCCUGAUCCAGCAAUGCCGCGUGUGGGAAGAAGGCCCUCGGGUUGUAAACCACUUUUGGCGGGAAAGAAAUGGUCUGUGCUAAUACCACGGAUUGAUGACGGUACCCGCAGAAUAAGCACCGGCUAACUACGUG